AUAUUAAAGUUGUUGCAGUUAAAAAGCUCGUAGUUGGAUCUCGGGCUCGCCGGCACGCGGUCUCGGGGGUCUCGUGGCAAAUGCCGCCCCCGCUGUACUGCCGUCGGCGCCCAACCGGCGGGGGGGCCUUGCAUCCGAGAGGGUGCGGGCCCUGCCUUCCCCCUACCAGGGGUGGCAGUUGCGGGUGCCCUUAACUGGGUGGCCCGUGGCACCCGUCCGUUUUACUUUGAAAAAAUUAGAGUGUUCAAGGCAGGCUUCCGACGGCCUGAAUAAUGGUGCAUGGAAUAAUGGAAUAGGACCUCGGUCUUAUUUUGUUGGUUUUCGGGACUCGAGGUAAUGAUUAAGAGGGACAGCCGGGGGCAUUCGUACUGCGGCGUGAGAGGUGAAAUUCUUGGACCGCCGCAAGACGAACUACUGCGAAAGCAUUUGCCAAGAAUGUUUUCAUUAAUCAAGAACGAAAGUCAGAGGUUCGAAGACGAUCAGAUACCGUCCUAGUUCUGACCAUAAACGAUGCCGACUGGCGAUCCGCCGGAGUUGUACCUAUGACCCGGCGGGCAGCCCCCGGGAAACCAAAGUCUUUGGGUUCCGGGGGAAGUAUGGUUGCAAAGCUGAAACUUAAAGGAAUUGACGGAAGGGCACCACCAGGAGUGGAGCCUGCGGCUUAAUUUGACUCAACACGGGGAAACUCACCCGGCCCGGACACCGUAAGGAUUGACAGAUUGAGAGCUCUUUCUUGAUUCGGUGGGUGGUGGUGCAUG
rnacentral:rRNA from 1 species